AUUGAACGCUGGCGGCAGGCCUAACACAUGCAAGUCGAGCGGAGCGGCGGACGGGUGAGUAAUGCCUAGGAAUCUGCCUGGUAGUGGGGGGUAACGUCCGGAAACGGGCGAUAAUACCGCAUCCUAUCAGAUGCGCCUAGGUCGGAUGAGCUAGUUGGUGGGGUAAAGGACUACAAAGGCGACGAUCCGUAACUGGUCUGAGAGGAUGAUCAGUCACACUGGAACUGAGACACGGCCCAGACUCCUACGGGAGGCAGAAGUGGGGAAUCUUGGACAAGGGGCGAAAGACUGAUCCAGCCAUGCCGCGUGUGUGAAGAAGGUCUUCGGAUUGUAAAGCACUUUAAGUUGGGAGGCGGUACCAACAGAAUAAGCACCGGCUAACUUCGUGCCAGCAGCCGCGGUAAUUC
rnacentral:rRNA from 1 species